UACGUAGGGGGCAAGCGUUAUCCGGAUUUACUGGGUGUAAAGGGAGUGUAGGCGGUUCGGCAAGUCAGAUGUGAAAGCCCGAAGCUCAACUUCGGGACUGCAUUUGAAACUGCUGGACUUGAGUGCAGGAGAGGAAAGUGGAAUUCCUAGUGUAGCGGUGAAAUGCGUAGAUAUUAGGAAGAACACCAGUGGCGAAGGCGGCUUUCUGGACUGUAACUGACGCUGAGGCUCGAAAGCGUGGGGAGCAAAC
rnacentral:rRNA from 1 species